rnacentral:tRNA from 1 species
GGGUGAUUAGCUCAGCUGGGAGAGCACCUCCCUUACAAGGAGGGGNUACAGACGGCACCGCUCA